GAGGAUUUCUGGAAUGGUUCCUGACUAAAAUCUAUAUGGCCUCUGGAUUGGACUGCGGCCGAUCAGGCUGUUGGUGAGGUAAUGGCCCACCAAACCUGUAACCGGUACGGGCUCUGAGAGGAGGAGCCCGGAGAUGGGCACUGAGACAAGGGCCCAGGCCCUAUGGGGCGCAGCAGGCGCGAAACCUCUGCAAUAGGCGAAAGCCUGACAGGGUUACUCUGAGUGACUUUCGCUAAGAAAGUCUUUUGGCACCUCUAAAAAGGGUGCAGAAUAAGGGGUGGGCAAGUCUGGUGUCAGCCGCCGCGGUAAUACCAGCACCCCGAGUGGUCGGGACGAUUAUUGGGCCUAAAGCAUCCGUAGCCGGUUCUGCAAGUCCCCCGUUAAAUCCAGCUGCUCAACAGAUGGGCCGCGGAGGAUACUACAGAGCUAGGAGGCAGGAGAGGCAAGCGGUACUCAGUGGGUAGGGGUAAAAUCCGUUGAUCCAUUGAAGACCACCAGUGGCGAAGGCGGCUUGCCAGAAUGCGCUCGACGGUGAGGGAUGAAAGCUGGGGGAGCAAACCGGAUUAGAUACCCGGGUAGUCCCAGCCGUAAACGAUGCAGACUCGGUGAUGGGUUGGCUUCGCGCUAACCCAGUGCCGCAGGGAAGCCGUUAAGUCUGCCGCCUGGGUAGUACGGUCGCAAGACUGAAACUUAA
rnacentral:rRNA from 1 species